rnacentral:rRNA from 1 species
UAGAGAUCUGGAGGAAUACCGGUGGCGAAGGCGGCCCCCUGGACGAAGACUGACGCUCAGGUGCGAAAGCGUGGGGAGCAAACAGGAUUAGAUACCCUGGUAGUCCACGCUGUAAACGAUGUCGACUUGGAGGUUGUGCCCUUGAGGUGUGGCUUCCGGAGCUAACGCGUUAAGUCGACCGCCUGGGGAGUACGACCGCAAGGUUAAAACUCAAAUGAAUUGACGGGGGCCCGCACAAGCGGUGGAGCAUGUGGUUUAAUUCGAUGCAACGCGAAGAACCUUACCUGGUCUUGACAUCCACGGAA